GAUGAACGCUGGCGGCGUGCCUAAUACAUGCAAGUCGAGCGAACAGACGAGGAGCUUGCUCCUCUGACGUUAGCGGCGGACGGGUGAGUAACACGUGGAUAACCUACCUAUAAGACUGGGAUAACUUCGGGAAACCGGAGCUAAUACCGGAUAAUAUAUUGAACCGCAUGGUUCAAUAGUGAAAGACGGUUUUGCUGUCACUUAUAGAUGGAUCCGCGCCGCAUUAGCUAGUUGGUAAGGUAACGGCUUACCAAGGCAACGAUGCGUAGCCGACCUGAGAGGGUGAUCGGCCACACCGGAACUGAGACACGGUCCAGACUCCUAAGGGAGGGAGGAGUAGGGAAUCUUCCGGAAUGGGCGAAAGCCUGACGGAGAAACGCCGCGUGAGUGAUGAAGGGCUUCGGAUCGUAAAACUCUGUUAUUAGGGAAGAACAAAUGUGUAAGUAACUAUGCACGUCUUGACGGUACCUAAUCAGAAAGCCACGGCUAACUACGUG
rnacentral:rRNA from 1 species